CAGCUGCUGUCUGUCAGCGCGGCGGGGCCCGCGAGCUCUCGCGAGAGCUGCCCGGGCCGGCCGCGAGAAGUGGGGCUCAGGUGUAAGAGGAGCGCAGCCCGUCGGCGCGCCGGGGCUAGAGCUCUCGGAGAAGCGGGAUCGCGGGACCUGCGCGCGGGCCGGCGGGCGGGCGCUCUGCGCGGUCGGUCCGAGGCAGCGGGCUGCGCUCGCCGGCGCAGCAGCGGCAGCAGCAGCAGCAGCAGCCCCCGCGGCGAGCCUCCGAGCGGAGCCGCCGAGCAGUGCGAGCGAGCGCAGCCUCGGGACGGAGGCCGGGCGAGCCGGCGUGCGCACUUUGCCGCGGACUUUGCGAGUGUUUUGUGGAUUUUUACAUGCCAAGGCGCCAAGAUGAUGUCCAUGAACAGCAAGCAGCCUCACUUUGCCAUGCAUCCCACCCUCCCUGAGCACAAGUACCCGUCGCUGCACUCCAGCUCCGAGGCCAUCCGGCGGGCCUGCCUGCCCACGCCGCCGCUGCAGAGCAACCUCUUCGCCAGCCUGGACGAGACGCUGCUGGCGCGGGCCGAGGCGCUGGCGGCCGUGGACAUCGCGGUGUCCCAGGGCAAGAGCCACCCUUUCAAGCCGGACGCCACGUACCACACGAUGAAUAGCGUGCCCUGCACGUCCACGUCCACCGUGCCGCUGGCGCACCACCACCACCACCACCACCACCACCAGGCGCUCGAGCCCGGUGACCUGCUGGACCACAUCUCGUCGCCGUCGCUCGCGCUCAUGGCCGGCGCAGGGGGCGCAGGCGCGGCGGGAGGCGGCGGCGGCGCCCACGACGGCCCCGGGGGCGGAGGCGGACCGGGGGGCGGCGGUGGCCCGGGCGGCGGCGGCCCCGGGGGUGGCGGCGGCGGCGGCGGCCCGGGGGGCGGCGGCGGCGGCCCGGGCGGCGGGCUCUUGGGCGGCUCGGCGCAUCCGCACCCGCACAUGCACGGCCUGGGCCACCUGUCGCACCCCGCGGCGGCGGCGGCCAUGAACAUGCCGUCCGGGCUGCCGCAUCCCGGGCUCGUGGCCGCGGCGGCGCACCACGGCGCGGCGGCGGCAGCGGCGGCGGCGGCGGCGGGGCAGGUGGCGGCGGCGUCGGCCGCGGCGGCGGUGGUGGGCGCGGCGGGCCUGGCGUCCAUCUGCGACUCGGACACGGACCCGCGCGAGCUCGAGGCGUUCGCCGAGCGCUUCAAGCAGCGGCGCAUCAAGCUGGGCGUGACGCAGGCCGACGUGGGCUCGGCGCUGGCCAACCUCAAGAUCCCGGGCGUGGGCUCGCUCAGCCAGAGCACCAUCUGCAGGUUCGAGUCGCUCACGCUCUCGCACAACAACAUGAUCGCGCUCAAGCCCAUCCUGCAGGCGUGGCUGGAGGAGGCCGAGGGCGCGCAGCGUGAGAAAAUGAACAAGCCGGAGCUCUUCAACGGCGGCGAGAAGAAGCGCAAGCGGACUUCCAUCGCCGCGCCCGAGAAGCGCUCCCUCGAGGCCUAUUUUGCCGUACAACCCCGGCCCUCGUCUGAGAAGAUCGCCGCCAUCGCCGAGAAACUGGACCUCAAAAAGAACGUGGUGCGGGUGUGGUUUUGCAACCAGAGACAGAAGCAGAAGCGGAUGAAAUUCUCUGCCACUUACUGAGGAGGGUGUGAGACGCCGGGUGGGGCACACUGGGGAGCUGAGGGGUGCGUUUCUGGGGCUCCCUCUGGCCCACUUCCCCUCAUUUAGACUGUCCGUUAUCCUGCCUGCAUUUGGGGAGUUCCUUUUCUUGCCCUUCCCUCAGCUCCACUCUGCACCCGGCCCUAGCUGUCCCCCAGCCUAGAGAACAGGGGUGUGGGUGUGGAGAAAGUUUGGGAUGGCAGGAGAGAAUGGGGGACGUUUAGGUGAGCAGGGCCUGGGGGGUGGGGGAGAAACGCAAAGACUGGAGCUGGGGGGGUUUCGAGAAGCAGGAUGGUUCUGGGGAGCAGGGUGGGAGGGAAAGAUGGGUGAAGAACUGGGGAUCUUGACCAGAGACACUUACAAAAUCAUCUGGGGACCAAGGAACUAUGUACAAAGAUAAAACUACCAACCAUCACCAAAAACAAAACAUAAAACACUAGACAAAUAAGGGGGGGGGCAAAGAUGCUUUAGGAACUUAACUCCUGGGAGCAGUAUUCUGCAGCCUCGUUUACCCCCAAGGAAGAGAAAGCAGCAGUACCAUUACUACCACCGCCCCAACUUCCCAAGCACAAGUCCCUGUCUCCCUCCUUUGGAGAACCGUGAAGUUGUUGAAAAGCUGAGAAGUUUCUGCUCUCAUUUGGGGGCAGGAGUCCCAUGUAAGAAAAAUCACCUAAAAUCCCAGAAGAAAGGAAGAGAUUUAAAGAUUUAAAGCCCCUCCCACCUUGUUCGUUUCAAAUAGGUCUGCACUUACCUGGGGGAAGGGGAACAGUGUUUCCCUGUUGUUGUUGUUGUUCUUGUUGUUGUUAUUCAAGGAUCAUUUAUUACCGGGGAUAAAUGUUGAGUCACAAAAACUUCAAUUUGCACUAUGAGUUUCCAAAAUAGAAAAUCAUGUGUGAUAUUUCAUACUAAUAAUCCAAGCUGCUGACGGAUUUUAAGGAAAAAUUUUUUGAGAAAGACAGUUUGAGAAAGAAAGAGAGAGAGAGAGAAAUGUGGUUUAGUGAAAUGCCUGCUUUGUUGUGUAGAAGAUCCCCUUUGGAUCUCAUGUGGAGAUGGUCUGUUACUAUCAUUUAACCAUAACUAAAGAUGAAAACGGAAGAGAUAAGGGGGGAAGCACUGUUUAACAAGACUGAAAUCAUGCAUGGCUCGAAAGGUGCAGAAAGAAAUGUGAUUAGGUCUCACUCUGGGUAGGCGUUGUUAUUUAUUUAAUUAUGUUGUAUGUCAUUGUUUGCAGCACAAAACAUUCUAUGCAUUUGAAACUGAGCACUAAACUGGGCUAGCUUUCUGGUAGACCAUUUUUUUGUGGAUAGUGUGAUUUCACAGUCUACUGCCUGUUUCCACUGAAAACACAUUAUUGUAAAUAUUUUCUUUCAUGCACAGGCCCACACACAGUGGUUACAAACUGCCAGUGUUAAUCCUGAAAUGUCUCACUGACUGAUCCUCCUGUCCAUGUUGUGUCUGCAGAGCUCUCUCCUUGGUUAUGUCUUCGCUCUAUUGCCCCCACCCCCACCCCACCCCAUCAGAACCAUUUCUGUGCGCCAACAUACAACAGGGAGAUGUGUCCCAGUCCACUUCCAAAUAAAACAUGACUGAAAGAAGAGCAGUUUUAUGAUCUGGGUGCAUUUUUGUGUUUAUAUUGAGCCAAGUCCUGGUAGGGCCGGUCAACAAAUGAGAGAAAACAACAAAACAAAACAAAUAACCCACACCAAACAGAAAGCCUCAACCAAACUUUAAAAUCACGCAAGAGGGGGAGGCAGGGGAGGCAGUGGGAGUGAAAGGAUGAGUUUUAGGGUUUUGUUUUGGUGUUUGUUUGUUUGUUUGUUUGUUUUUCCUGAAUGAGAAUUCAGUUUCAGAUAGGUCAUGGGAACUGGUGCUCUGAGGAAGGUAACUUACUCGUCCAUUUUAUCAAAGUUUUAAUUUUAUCUGCAGAAGCUUUUAAGCCACUUCGUUGGUUUCAGAGUGGUGAUGGUAAGCUGUAAACAACCAGGCACCUGCAAAGUAUUUAAGUUGAAGGUCAGGGAUUCAGGCAUCGAGAGGUUUGAAUGUGCUGUUCUACUCGAAAAACACAUCUAAAAAAAAAAAAAAAAAACAAAAAACAAAAAACAAAAAACGUUGUAACUAAAGGACUUUUCGUUGGCAGUUAAUGAAUUAGAAAAGUAUCCUAUGAUCUGCCCCAACAACUUGUCAAAUGCUUCACUUCAUUUAGAACAUUCUGCAUACCACCUAUUGCUUCACAUUGACAAGAGGUGUUCUAUUUCUUUCUCUUUUUUCUUUUUCUUUUGGUGACCUGGAACUAGAUCAAAUGCCAAAUGUACAAACUUUCUUAAUAGUUGGGACUAUAUCCUCUGAAGUCAUCCUAUUUUAGCUAAAUCUUUUUAACUUCACCGGCAUAUCUGUGAAAGAAAAGUGUUCAGAAAAGAAUAGUACAUUUUAAAAAGGUGUGAUUUUAAAACAGUUGUUAAUAUUUUAAAAAGCACUAGAGGUAUUUUUAAAAAUAGAUCUCUUCCAUCAAAAUUGAUUUGUUUCUGUUAUUGACUUGAGAUAUCAUCAGAGUUUCUAAUAAAAUACAUUUGUAAAAGAACACAUUAUUUUAUAGAAAAGUAUGACCAGAUUUCAUUGUUGGAGAUCCAGGGAUGAACAAAUAAAAAGAUUUACAAAGGUUGUUUUUCUAAUAAUCUGCUCAAACAGAAAUGUUGCAGGCAAAUACAUUUGUAUUAUAUAAUAAUGGAUAAUGUAUGUAUUAAGAAUUUAAGCAUUUGUUUUGUACUAAGUAAAUCCUUGCCCAGUACAAAAAAAAAAAGACUAUUAUGUUAAUAAAACAUCAUGAAAACGCAUCGCUUUGCAGGGUUUCCUAUUUUAUGUAGUAGGAAACUGUGCAAAAUUAAAAAAAAAAAAAAGUUUUGCUUUCUAGUGAGUGGAUGUGUUCAGGCCAGGAAGGACUGAGCGAGCUCCUGUUAGACUCCUUUAGCUGUCAACUCACAGAAAAUGUUAAAAGGAGACUCCUCAAGAGAAGGCAAUGAUUUGCUGAUCUGUGGUAGUUAGGCUUUUUCAAGUUCUCUGGUUCAGAAAGUCGGGAAAAUUUCCUCCCACAGCUGCUAAUUUGUGGAAAUAAAAUGUGUGAGUCUGAACUCCUCUAAAGAACAGAAGUUUCAGAAGGUAGGGGAACUGGGCUCUGAUUCUGUGAUAGACUCUUUAGACACACAAGAGCAGAAUAAGAAAGGGAAAACGAAAAAUAUGCGUUGAGUGCACUCACCACAGAAAUGCUACCUUCCUCUCAAAACUGCUUUCUGAACUCUAUGGGAUUCUGCUUUUUCUGUAGGUCUAAGAAAGGAUGUCACCAGCAUCCAUCAGCUAGCUUCGGGAUAGACUUUUGUCUAAUUCGUGUUUUUAAAUUAUUCUCAACUUCAGUUAUAAGCUGUAUAAUAAACAGUAGGCACCCACUGCA